GUAUUUCAUAGGAGUGUAAGACAAAAAGUAUUUCUUUUGUUGUUAAGAAUUUUCUCAUUUUCAGCCAUGAGACUCAGUGUCAUGUUAAUGGUUUCUUGUGUUCUCACAUUUCUCAUUUUAAAUAAUGGUAAAGUUGAGGUGGAAGCCGGCAUGAGAAAACUUGGCUGCGAAACAUUACCAAGCAAUUAUCUUGGAACAUGCGGAAAAAAUGGAAUUAAUUUAUGUGUAGAUGACGUAAAAAAAAUGAUUGUCAAAAAUACUGGAAAAGCUGUGCCAAAAGGUUAUGGAGUACGUUGUGACAAAUGUAUUGAUGAAGCUCCCAAGCCAGGUUAUGCUCGCAUGCAUAAAUGUGUAUGUCGAUAUGAUUGCUAAAUUUAAAAAUAUCUAUAUAAGCAUAACCUCUUUACUAAUAAAGACAUGAGAUCAUUGUAAUGGAGAGUUUUUUGGCGUAGAUCUGGCUGGAAAAACAACUCAUGUCUUACUAAUAAUUUUCCAAGUUAUAUUGGUUAUGGUUCUAAAUUUUAAAAUACCUAUAUAAGCAUAAUCUCUUUACUAAUAAAAACAUGAGAUCAUUGUAAUCGAGAGUUUUUUGGCGUAGAUCUGGCUGGAAAAACAGCUCAUGUCUUACUAAUAAUUUUCCGAGUUAUAUUGGUUAUGGUUCUAAAUAAAUAUAAAUUUGAGGUAAUAA